GUGAUAGGCGGCAGUGUGUGUGUGGGGGGGGAACCGCUGAGAGGAAAAGAGAGGCAAGCGUGUGAGUGUGCCUGUGUGGGUGAUCACGAAUGAGAUGCGAGAGAGAGGAAGAGGAAGGAUCGCCUUUUUCUCUUCUGCCUUCCAAACCGCGAGCUGACGAGCAGAGCGAGGGAAACGAGAAGGAAAGGAGGGAGAAUCCCGGCAGGCAAAGUGAUCUGCCGACGCCUCCUCCGGGGUGAGGGAGUCCGCAACCUCCCCGGCUUCGUCUGGGCCACGCCGUCGUCCGUGCGCCUCCUCCUCCUCCUCCUCGCCCCCCCCCCCGCCAGCCUCAGCCUCCUUCCGUCUGCCAACUCCAGGGAUCCGUCUGAGACUGCUGUGCGUGCUUCGAUGGCAGCGAGCAGAUAGGCAAGGAGCAGCGGUGUCAGGAGGAGAGAGAGGAGAGUCCAAGGGAUUAGCCUCAAUUCAGAAUACUGUCCGCCAUUGUCUGUUCAGGAAGCCACGAGAACAAAACAGCCCACAGCUUCAGCUUCUUCACCAUCAACUGUAUGAUCUUUAGAAGAAGGUUCAAAAAUGCAAGCAAGAGAACAAACCAAUCAUGUAUGGAGGAGGAAAAGAAGAAGUUGUGAUUAGAAGACCUACAUCCCCCACUAUGAUGACCUCUCAAACUGAGGAAACCGCUUGUCCCUAACUCAGCAGCUUCCCUGGGAGUGCUAACAUUCACAGAAACAUCCAGAGGAAACAGGAGCAAUCUGAUUGUAGCUAGUCUUGGAUUU
rnacentral:lncRNA from 1 species